rnacentral:snRNA from 1 species
GUGCUCGCUUCGGCAGCACAUAUACUAAAAUUGGAAUGAUACAGAGAAGAUUAGCAUGGCCCCUGCACAAGGAUGACACACAAAUUCAUGCGUUCCAUAAUUUA